rnacentral:lncRNA from 1 species
CUUCAUAGAAAAAUGUCACCCAUUAUCAGGGACAAACCAGAACUGCCUGCUGCUGGCUGCUGCUGUCACGGAGAGCACUCAUUGCUGGCCUGCUAUGUGAGGAAGCCCACUGAUUUUGGACAGAGGCUCCUUCCUCUCUGAAGACUCUAACCUGACCCACAAACCCAUCAGUCCAGGGAGAAAGGUUCAGGAUUCGGGACUGCCUCAAAGACCAGAGAGAACAGCAACAAUAUGGAUGUCAGACCACAAAACUUCAAGAGUGCUGAAGGCCAGGCUGCUCCCUAGGUAUGUUUGUGAAGUUACCGAUCAGAACUGAGUCGCUGGAAUUCCAUGUGGUCAUCCUCAUGCCUUCCAAGGCUGCUAAGAUGCUGGACUGGAUGCCAGGUGGGAAGUGGGCAAUCCUUAGAAUGUUGCUGCAGCUGCUUAUGUGUGAACAAAACUGGCCUGAUUCACUCUAAACCGAACCAGAUUUCCAAAGCCAAGUACUGUUUGUCCAGCCUUCCUUGUCCCUUCUUAGCCUUCUGAGAAGUAUGACAAUGCACUUGGAAAUACAACCAGCUUCUUCAAAUAAAAUGAUUCCGUA